CCUGGUUGAUCCUGCCAGUAGUCAUAUGCUUGUCUCAAAGAUUAAGCCAUGCAUGUGUAAGCACACACUGUGUUAAAAGUGAAGCCGCGAAUGGCUCAUUACAACAGCCACAGUUUAUUAGAACUUACUCUCAUGGAUAACUGUGGUAAUUCUAGAGCUAAUACCGUUUGAUGAAUGUUGAACGUCGAAACUGUUUGGUGAAUCUGAAUAACUAUUUCUGAUCGCAUGGUCUAGCACCGGCGACAUCACUUUCAAGUGUCUGCCUUAUCAACCUUCGAUGGUAGUCUAUGCGACUACCAUGGUGAUAACGGGUAACGGAGAAUCAGGGUUCGACUCCGGAGAGGGAGCCUGAGAAACGGCUACCACAUCCAAGGAAGGCAGCAGGCGCGCAAAUUACCCACUCCCAGCUUGGGGAGGUAGUGACGAAAAAUAACGAGACGAUUCUCGUUUGAGAAACGUUAUCGAAAUGAGUACGCUUUCCACACGCUAACGAGUAGCAAUUGGAGGGCAAGUCUGGUGCCAGCAGCCGCGGUAAUUCCAGCUCCAAUAGCGUAUAUUAAAGUUGCUGCGGUUAAAACGCUCGUAGUUGAAUUGUGGUCUUAGACAACAGUCCCCCUACAUAGGUGUGGCACGGUUGCUCGAGAUCUUCAUUCGUGGUUGCUGUUGUUGCUCUUGAUUGAGUGUCAAUGGUGCCUCGAGAUUUUACUUUGAAAAAAUUAGAGUGCUCAAAGCAGGUUGUGAUGCCUGAAUAAUGGUGCAUGGAAUAAUAGAAUACGAUCUCGGUUCUAUUUUGUUGGUUUUCGAACUGGAGAUAAUGAUUGAAAGGAACAGGCGGGGGCAUUCGUAUUGCUGCGUUAGAGGUGAAAUUCUUGGAUCGCAGCAAGAUGAACAAUUGCGAAAGCAUUUGCCAAGAAUGUUUUCAUUAAUCAAGAACGAAAGUUAGAGGUUCGAAGGCGAUCAGAUACCGCCCACGGUAAACUAUGCCAACCAGCGAUUCGCCGAAGUUCAUUUAAGACUCGGCGAGCAGCUUCCGGGAAACCAAAGUGUUUCGGUUCCGGGGGAGGUAUGGUUGCAAAGCUGAAACUUAAAGGAAUUGACGGAAGGGCACCACCAGGAGUGGAGCCUGCGGCUUAAUUUGACUCAACACGGGAAAACUCACCCGGCCCGGACACUGGAAGGAUUGACAGAUUGACAGCUCUUUCUUGAUUCAGUGGGUAGUGGUGCAUGGCCGUUCUUAGUUGGUGGAGCGAUUUGUCUGGUUAAUUCCGAUAACGAACGAGACUCUACCCUAUUAAAUAGUGAUAGUAUUGUAAUUUUUGUGCUGAUCACUUCUUAGAGGGACUGGCAAAUUGAAAGCUGCACGAAAAAGAGCAAUAACAGGUCUGUGAUGCCCUUCGAUGUCCGGGGCUGCACGCGCGCUACAAUGAAAGCGUCAACGUGAGUUACGUCCUAACCUGAAAAGGUUUGGCAAUCGAUUGAAACGUUUUCUUGAAUGGAAUAGGGAAUUGCAAUUGUUUCCCUUGAACGAGGAAUUCCCAGUAAGCGUGAGUCAUUAGCUCGCGUUGAUUACGUCCCUGCCCUUUGUACACACCGCCCGUAUGAUUUAGUGAGGUGUUUUGACUGGCGCCAGUAGUCGGAUAUGUAUUCGGCUUCGCGCCGGGAAAUUUCCCAAACCAAAUCAUCUAGAGGAAGUAAAAGUCGUAACAAGGUUUCCGUAGGUGAACCUGCGGAAG
rnacentral:rRNA from 1 species